CUACAGAGAAGCGACAGGACAGAGUGAAACAGACAAGAUUCCAGAUAGAAUCUAGACUAGAAAUUUCAUUUCAUGUCUGGAAACAAAGUAUUCUAUCCUGAUUUCGUUAGAGAACAUUUUGUUUUACACUAGUACCUAAGGAGUUGCUAAGAUAAGUUGAGAGAGACACAGCAUGAGCAGGGAAGGGGC